AGGGCGUUCAGUUCGUCGCAUUAGACCCGAAACCGAGUGAUCUAGCCAUGAGCAGGUUGAAGGUUGGGUAACACCAACUGGAGGACCGAACCCGCAUCUGUUGCAAUAGAUUGGGAUGACUUGUGGCUAGGGGUGAAAGGCCAAUCAAACUCGGAAAUAGCUGGUUCUCCGCGAAAACUAUUUAGGUAGUGCGUCGACCGAAUACCCUCGGGGGUAGAGCACUGGAUGGGCUAUGGGGACUCACCGUCUUACUGAUCCUAACCAAACUCCGAAUACCGAGGAGUACUAGUCGGCAGACACACGGCGGGUGCUAACGUCCGUCGUGAAGAGGGCAACAACCCUGACCUCCAGCUAAGGUCCCCAAGUCAUGGCUAAGUGGGAAAGGAUGUGAGGAUCCCAAAACAACCAGGAUGUUGGCUUAGAAGCAGCCAUCAUUUAAAGAAAGCGUAACAGCUCACUGGUCUAAUUAAGGGUCUUUGCGCCGAAAAUGUAACGGGGCUAAAGCCAUGCACCGAAGCUGAGGAUACGUCGCAAGACGUGUGGUAGCGGAGCGUUCCGUAAGCCUGUGAAGGGAUACCUGUGAGGGGUCCUGGAGGUAUCGGAAGUGCGAAUGUUGACAUGAGUAACGAUAAAGAGGGUGAGAGACCCUCUCGCCGAAAGACCAAGGGUUCCUGCUUAAAGUUAAUCUGAGCAGGGUUAGCCGGCCCCUAAGACGAGGCGGACACGCGUAGUCGAUGGGAACCACGUUAAUAUUCGUGGGCCUGGUGGUAGUGACGGAUUGCUUAACUUGUACGCUCUUAUUGGAUUGGGUGUGCAGGGACGCGGUUCCAGGAAAUAGCUCCACCGUAUAGACCGUACCCGAAACCGACACAGGUGGUCAGGUAGAGUAUACCAAGGCGCUUGAGAGAACUAUGCUGAAGGAACUCGGCAAAUUGCACGCGUAACUUCGGAAGAAGCGUGACCCUUUUUGACGCAAGUCAGAAAGGGUGGCACAGACCAGGGGGUAGCGACUGUUUAUCAAAAACACAGGGCUCUGCGAAGUCGCAAGACGACGUAUAGGGUCUGACGCCUGCCCGGUGCUGGAAGGUUAAGAGGAGGGGUGCAAGCUCUGAAUCGAAGCCCCAGUAAACGGCGGCCGUAACUAUAACGGUCCUAAGGUAGCGAAAUUCCUUGUCGGGUAAGUUCCGACCUGCACGAAUGGCGUAACGACUUCCCCGCUGUCUCCAGCAUAGACUCAGUGAAAUUGAAUUCCCCGUGAAGAUGCGGGGUUCCUGCGGUCAGACGGAAAGACCCCGUGCACCUUUACUAUAGCUUUACACUGGCAUUCGUGUCGGCAUGUGUAGGAUAGGUGGUAGGCUUUGAAGCAGGGACGCCAGUUCUUGUGGAGCCAUCCUUGAAAUACCACCCUUAUCGUCAUGGAUGUCUAACCGCGGUCCGUUAUCCGGAUCCGGGACAGUGUAUGGUGGGUAGUUUGACUGGGGCGGUCGCCUCCGAAAGAGUAACGGAGGCGCGCGAUGGUGGGCUCAGACCGGUCGGAAAUCGGUCGUCGAGUGCAAUGGCAUAAGCCCGCCUGACUGCGAGACUGACAAGUCGAGCAGAGACGAAAGUCGGUCAUAGUGAUCCGGUGGUCCCGCGUGGAAGGGCCAUCGCUCAACGGAUAAAAGGUACGCCGGGGAUAACAGGCUGAUGACCCCCAAGAGUCCAUAUCGACGGGGUUGUUUGGCACCUCGAUGUCGGCUCAUCGCAUCCUGGGGCUGGAGCAGGUCCCAAGGGUUUGGCUGUUCGCCAAUUAAAGCGGUACGUGAGCUGGGUUCAGAACGUCGUGAGACAGUUCGGUCCCUAUCUGCCGUGGGUGUAGGAAUAUUGACAGGAUCUGUCCCUAGUACGAGAGGACCGGGAUGGACAUAUCUCUGGUGGACCUGUUGUCCUGCCAAGGGCAUAGCAGGGUAGCUAUAUAUGGAAUGGAUAACCGCUGAAGGCAUCUAAGCGGGAAACCAACCUGAAAACGAGUAUUCCCUUGAGAACCGUGGAAGACUACCACGUUGAUAGGCUGGGUGUGGAAGUGCGGCAACGCAUGAAGCUUACCAGUACUAAUCGUUCGAUUGGCUUGAUCGUUCCCAUU
rnacentral:rRNA from 1 species